GACGAACGCUGGCGGCGCGCUUAACACAUGCAAGUCGAGCGAGAACCAGGGCUUCGGCCCUGGGGACAGCGGCGAACGGGUGAGUAACACGUGGGUAAUCUGCCCUCGGCACCGGAAUAGCCCGGGGAAACCCGGAUUAAUGCCGGAUGGCCCCUUCACCUCGCGAGGUGUCGGGAAAAGGUAGCUUCGGCCUCUGGCCGAGGAUGGGCCCGCGGCGGAUUAGCUUGUUGGCGGGGUAACGGCCCACCAAGGCGACGAUCCGUAGCUGGUCUGAGAGGACGAUCAGCCACACUGGGACUGAGACACGGCCCAGACUCCUACGGGAGGCAGAAGUGGGGAAUCUUGCGCAAUGGGCGAAAGCCUGACGCAGCGACGCCGCGUGAGGGAAGAAGGCCUUCGGGUUGUAAACCUCUUUCAGGAGGGACGAAGCUACUCGGGUGAAUAGCCCAGAGGGUGACGGUACCUCCAGAAGAAGCCCCGGCUAACUACGUGCCAGCCGCCGCGGUAA
rnacentral:rRNA from 1 species